rnacentral:tRNA from 1 species
GGGCUUUUAGUUAAGUUGGUUAUAACAUAUGCUUUGCAAGCAUAAGUCCCGAGUUCGAAUCUCGGUUAGUCCA